GGAGAUAUAGCUCAGCGGUAAAGCUCGUGCUUGAUGUGCACAAGGUCCUGGUUUCAAUCCCCAGUGGAUCUG
rnacentral:tRNA from 1 species